GGUGGGUGCGGGUGGUGGGAGGCAACAUGAUGGCUACUAUGAAAUACAAAAUGAAGUAUCUAUUUGUUAUAUGCAGUAUUUGUAUUGUCGGUGCAUAUAUCGCUGGCACUGAUUGCUUACAGACGAAAAUAUCCACCAUAGAACGAAUAAA